UGGAAGUAUCCAAGUCAACUAAGUGAUUAAUUGCCUUAUAACGAUGAAAAAUCCAAUAAAUAUUUUCCACCCCGUCAAAUUCAUACUUGUUAUACAUUCUAAAAAUGGAUCUAUUCACUUGCAACGAUGGAUGUCUUCAUAACAGGUUUUGGAUUGGUUAUAUAUUUAUAAUAAGUGUUAAAUUGGUUAUGUAUUUAAAAUAGGCUUUAGAUUGAUUAUGUAUUCAUAACAGGUUUUGGAUUGAUAUUGUAACAACAAAAUAUUUCUAUAAAUAUGUUCAAUGACUCUCUUCUGUUGUUGUCAUUCUCUUCUAUUAUUAGUCCUAGUUCUUGCUAUAUU
rnacentral:lncRNA from 1 species